GACGAACGCUGGCGGCGUGCUUAACACAUGCAAGUCGAACGAUGAUGGCUGGUGCUUGCACUGGCUGGAUUAGUGGCGAACGGGUGAGUAACACGUGAGUAACCUGCCCUUGGCUCUGGGAUAAGCGCUGGAAACGGCGUCUAAUACUGGAUAUAACCCCCUUUCGCAUGGUGGGGGGUGGAAAGCUUUUUGCGGCCUUGGAUGGACUCGCGGCCUAUCAGCUUGUUGGUGAGGUAGUGGCUCACCAAGGCGACGACGGGUAGCCGGCCUGAGAGGGUGACCGGCCACACUGGGACUGAGACACGGCCCAGACUCCUACGGGAGGCAGCAGUGGGGAAUAUUGCACAAUGGGCGAAAGCCUGAUGCAGCAACGCCGCGUGGGGGAUGACGGCCUUCGGGUUGUAAACCUCUUUUGGCAGGGAAGAAGCCGCAAGGUGACGGUACCUGCAGAAAAAGGACCGGCUAACUACGUGCCAGCCGCCGCCGUAAUAC
rnacentral:rRNA from 1 species